UCUCGAUGGCGUAAAAGUUAACUUGAAUUUGUGACGAGUCGGAACGUUUGCCUACGUUUGCCGCUAGGGGCGCUGUUCUAACUGCAUACAAAUUUGAAUUAACUUUUACGCUAUCGA
rnacentral:pre_miRNA from 9 species